CCUGUCUCAGGAACAAGAUGCAAUAAAACUGGAACUGUACACAAAUAAUUAGCUUGUCCCUGCACAAGGAUGACAUGCAAGUUCAUUAAGUAUUCAAUAAUUUA
ensembl:snRNA U6 U6 spliceosomal RNA